rnacentral:rRNA from 1 species
CGCAUCUGUGCAUGCAGCAUAUCAAUAAGCGGAGGAAAAGAAACUAACAAGGAUUCCCCUAGUAACGGCGAGUGAAGCGGGAAGAGCUCAAAUUUGAAAUCUUAAAGGGUUUCCCUUUACGAAUUGUAGUUUAAAGAAGUGUUUUUCUGUUGAGGUUUUUGGUAAAAGUUCUUUGGAAUAGGACAUCAUAGAGGGUGAGAAUCCCGUAUUUGACCUUUACUUUCAACUUUGUGAUACACUUUCAAAGAGUCGGAUUGUUUGGGAAUGCAGUCCAAAAUGGGUGGUAAAUUUCAUCUAAAGCUAAGUAUUGGCGAGAGACCGAUAGCGAACAAGUACCGUGAGGGAAAGAUGAAAAGAACUUUGAAAAGAGAGUUAAACAGUACGUGAAAUUGUCAAAAGGGAAGCGUUUGACACCAGUGUUGUUUUUUCUGAAAAUCAAUUAAAGAACUGUUUAUGCUAAGUUGUUUAGACUUUAUCAGCUAAUCUGUUUAGUUUUGAGCUUUUCUUUAAUGCACUUUUCAGUUAACAAGUCAACAUCAAUUUCUUUUGCUGUAAAAAAGCUUGAGGAAGGUGGCUUGAGAUUCGUCUUAAGUGUUUAUAGCCUCUUGCCUAUGCAGUCGGAGAGAUUGAGGUCUGCAGCGUAGAUCCUUCGGGGCUAAAUGCAUUUGUGCUAAGUUAUAGCAUUUUAUAGACAACUUGUUGGACUAUGAUUUGUCUUGUAGCUUACUCGCUUAUGUUAUUUUACCUACGCUUAGGAUGUUGAGUAGCGACAUACGCAC